UUCUAAUAGAAAAUAAUUAUUAGUAAAACUCUGCACAAUGAACAUUAAAUCGCCGCAAUUUAUGUGCAAAGGUAGCAUAAUCACUUGCCUCCUAAUUAAAGGCUAGAAUGAAAGGUUUAACAAUUUAAAUUCUGUAAUCUCCAGAAUCUUUUAAAUUUUGAUAUAAAUAAAAACACUUAUUUAUUUAGGGGGACGACAAGACCCUACUGAACUUUACAUUUAUGUUUUUCUGGGGUGGAAAUAAAACUAAAUCUUUUUUUCCUCUUUUUAAAAAAACAAAAAUCUUUAAUUAUAAUUAAGUUACCAUAGGGAUAACAGCACAAUUUUUUCUUAAAGACCGUAUCUAAGAAAAAGUUUAUGACCUCGAUGUUGAAUUAUUUUCUCUUUUUAGAAGCAAAAAUCUAAAAAGAAAGUCUGUUCGACUUUUAAAUAUUUACAUGAUUUGAGUUCAGACCGGCGUAAGCCAGGUCGGAUUCUAUCUCCUCAUAUUCUUUUUAGUACGAAAGGACCAAAAGAAUAUUAAUUUAAUUUUUUU
rnacentral:rRNA from 1 species